rnacentral:rRNA from 1 species
UGGGGAAUCUUCCGCAAUGGACGAAAGUCUGACGGAGCAACGCCGCGUGAGUGAAGACGGCCUUCGGGUUGUAAAGCUCUGUGAUCCGGGACGAAAGAGCCUGAGGUAAAUAGCCUAAGGAAGUGACGGUACCGGAAAAGCAAGCCACGGCUAACUACGUGCCAGCAGCCGCGGUAAUACGUAGGUGGCAAGCGUUGUCCGGAAUUAUUGGGCGUAAAGCGCGCGCAGGCGGCUUACUAAGUCCAUCUUAAAAGUGCGGGGCUUAACCCCGUGAUGGGAUGGAAACUGGAAAGCUGGAGUAUCGGAGAGGAAAGUGGAGUUCCUAGUGUAGCGGUGAAAUGCGUAGAGAUUAGGAAGAACACCGGUGGCGAAGGCGACUUUCUGGACGAAAACUGACGCUGAGACGCGAAAGCGUGGGGAGCAAACAGG